GUCCUCUCCCUUUAUUCUUUACUUUAUAAUGAUGAGGAAGAUGUUCGAUGUUUCCAUAAGUUUUUUUUUAUUUUUUUUAUUUCUUUUGUUGUUCAUACAGUGCAGUUUGUCUUGUUGUUGGUCUUGGAGGUACUUCAUGGAGUUAGUAGUAGACAUCUUUUUAACUUAUCAAGCGACUCCUUAAACUAGUAAUGUAACUUUAAAAUCUUUUGUCUUUUC